rnacentral:rRNA from 1 species
AUGGCUCAUUACAACAGCUAUAGUUUACUAGAUGCUGAUUGUUACUUGGAUAACUGUGGUAAUUCUAGAGCUAAUACAUGCAAUAAAGUCCCGACCUCACGGAAGGGAUGCAUUUAUUAGAUCAAAACCAGAUAGGCUUGCCUAUUAUUGGUGAAUCUGGAUAACGCAGCUGAUCGCACGGUCUCGUACCGGCGACGUAUCUUUCAAAUGUCUGCCUUAUCAACUGUCGAUGGUAAAUUAUGCGCUUACCAUGGUUGUUACGGGUAACGGAGAAUUAGGGUUCGACUCCGGAGAGGGCGCCUGAGAAAUGGCGACCACAUCUAAGGAAGGCAGCAGGCACGCAAAUUACCCACUCUUGGCAAGAGGAGGUAGUGACGAAACAUAACAGGACGGUCUCUUAUGAGGUUCGUUACUGGAAUGAGUACAGUUUAAAUCCUUUAACGAGGAUCUAUUAGAGGGCAAGUCUGGUGCCAGCAGCCGCGGUAAUUCCAGCUCUAAUAGCGUAUAUUAAAGUUGUUGCGUUUAAAAAGCUCGUAGUUGAAUCUGAGUCUGUUGACUGGCGGUCCCCUAGCGGGUGUACUGCUUUGUCAGGACUAUAUUCUGGUUUUCCUUGGAACCUCUUAAUUGUAGGGUCCUUGGUGACUGGAGAUUUUACUUUGAAAAAAUUAGAGUGCUCAAAGCAGGCUAAAAGUCUGAAUAGUGGUGCAUGGAAUAAUGAAAUAAGACUUCGGUUUUAUUUUAUGGCUUUCGAAACUCGAAGUAAUGAUUAAAAGGGACAAACGGGGGCAUUCGUAUUGCAGCGUUAGAGGUGAAAUUCUUGGAUCGUUGCAAGACGUACUACAGCGAAAGCAUUUGCCAAGAAUGUUUUCAUUAAUCAAGAACGAAAGUUAGAGGUUCGAAGGCGAUCAGAUACCGCCCUAGUUCUAACCGUAAACGAUGCUAACUAGCGAUUGGCAGGAGUUUAUUUAUGACUCUGCCAGCAGCUUCCAGGAAACCAAAGUUUUUGAGUUCCGGGGGAAGUAUGGUUGCAAAUCUGAAACUUAAAGGAAUUGACGGAAGGGCACCACCAGGAGUGGAGCCUGCGGCUUAAUUUGACUCAACGCGGGGAAGCUCACUUGGCCUAGACACCGGCAGGACUGACAGACUGAAAGCUCUUUCUCGAUUCGGUAAGUGGUGGUGCAUGGCCGUUCUUAGUUGGUGGAGUGAUUUGUCUGGUUAAUUCCGAUAACGAACGAGACUCUAACCUGCUAAACUAGACGACAAAUCUCAUUAAUUGUCGAGCUUCUUAGAGGGAUAAAGGGUGUUUAGCCCUACGAGAUUGAGCAAUAACAGGUCUGUGAUGCCCUUAGAUGUCCAAGGCUGCACGCGCGCUACACUGUGAAAGUCAACAAGCUCGAUAUCCUGCUCCGUAAGGAGUGGGUAAUCCGUUGAAAUUUUCACGUGCUAGGGAUAGGAAUUUGAAAUUAUUUUCCUUGAACGAGGAAUUCCUAGUAAGUGCGGGUCAUAAUCUUGCGUUGAUUACGUCCCUGCCCUUUGUACACACCGCCCGUCGCUACUACCGAUUGGACGAUUUAGUGAGGUCUUCGGACUGGGCCUUUCGUGGCUUAACGGCUCUGGAGGUGC